CCCACCAAAUCUUGAAUCACACACAAACUAUAUGAAACUAUAUGUGUCAAUUGUGGAUUUUCAACUACAUCUUCCCAACACUUUGUCAAAUGCAAAAAUGGUCUAUAUAUUAAAUGUACAUUUUGAUGAGUGGAACAAUAUUAGUAUUCAUGACGUUUCCAUUCGAGACCAUCUAGGGUUCCGAAAACCGAUGCGUGGC
rnacentral:lncRNA from 1 species